CUUUAAUAGCCUAUUACCAACAAUGAAUAUGAGACAUUACCUUCUAUGUUAAAUUUUAGUCUUUUAAAAGAAACUUGUCUGGAAAUGUCUGCAGUCUUCAUUCACUGAUAAAGGGAAAUGGAAACACUAUUCUAAGCAGGCCAGAAUCUACAAAUAGCUGUCAGUUUGCAUUGCACUGAACUCACAUCCUUCAUGCUCUCUCAGCCUCAUCACCAUCUAGUUAUGUGCUGAUGGGCUUUAUUUGAUCUACAGAAGAUGCUCUGGUGACACCCUCAGUGUGUGUUGGUAACACCUUCCUGCCUUCUCUCACUUUCCUUGACCCAUAUGACAUUUCACCUUCACUGGUGCGAUAGCUGUAUAGAAUUGUAUACACUUCCAUACAAUUUACUGAACUGCCCCAUUAACAGGACUUUGAGUCAAGUAUUUUUUUCUGUUUGGUUAUCACUGUUAACUCCAGAAAGAUGAGUUGAUUAACAUUUUUUAGAAGCAAAUGACUCUUCACCAAGCUUUCUUUCUUCAGAUGGACUUUUCUAAGUAGGUUAUGCUCCUUCCAUCAUAAAACAUGGUCAACCAUGUGGUACACCUCUACCCUGAUUACUGGAGAUAUUGGUAAACCAUUAGUUAGAGAAAUGAGGGAAUUUACAUUUCUAAAGGUAAACUCUUGAAACUGUCCUUGAAAAUGUUUCCUUCAAGGCUAUCUAUAAUGUUCCCUAACAGUGUUAAAAAAAUAUAUUCUCUCUGAUGUUAUGGUAAAAUAAGGGUCAAUAUUUUUUAAAUGCUUGUUUAAAAACGCUAUUAAAAUUUUCUUCCUUGGUUUCUGUCAUUUGUUAUAGUAGAUUUGAAUUUUUGAGAAAAAUUGGACUCAAACAGUGUACUCAGCUUGUACUGUGUGCCAAACGUUUGGAAAAAUUACCCACACACUUAUGGUUGCAUUUCCCUUCUUUGUUUCCUAGCCUCUAACAAGAUAGGUUGGCUAAUAAUGAUUUGGGAGAGUAUAAGUAUA
rnacentral:lncRNA from 1 species